UGGCUUGGGUCCUGGCUCGGUCAUGUGAUCUGUGAAUAUUUAUCUAUCUUGUUCUCAGUAAUAACAAUUAAUAAUAAACCUCCUGGCUGUGCUGUGGGGCGAAGGAUUAAACGUCUAGUGAAAUGGGUCCACAGCAGUUCCAUUUUGUAAGAUUGCUGUCGGGUCAAGCAAGAUAAAACGCGCUCAGUACUUGAAGGAGCAGCUAUCCCUCUAAGGUAUUUUACUCACCUUUGUGAUGGUUUCAAAUCAGAAACUCCUCUCCAGAGAAACAACAGCAAGUGGUUCUGCUGACCAACCCACGGAAGCAGUGUCUCCGGUAUCAUUCCCAGGGUCGAGACUAGAGGAGAGGAAAUGUUCUGUCUCUGAGGACGACCCUCAUUGGAGCAGUUGAGUUGCCCCUGGGCUGGUUCUGGAUCUUCCUUACAACAAGAGAGCACUUCCAAGAACAGGCUCAACAGGAUGCCAGAUAUGACACUAGCCAUGCUCGGUCUGUUUGUUGCAGACAUACCCGGUUCAGUGCUGCCGGCAGGAUCCUGUUGUGACAGCCAGAUGGAAGGGUGUCCAUGUGGCGCUUGGAAA
rnacentral:sRNA from 1 species